UUGCAUGUGUGUGCGGAGAGAAAAAAGUGGGGAGGUCAGCAAUGGAGGAUGGGGAGUGGUAAUCAGAAACUGGUCAGAGUAUGUGUGUGUGUGUGUGUGUGUGUGUGUGUGGUGAAUGCUUUGCUACAUUCUACAUAACAGAGCUGACAAAAGAUGGCUCCCAGGAAUCUAUUCAUGUCUAAACUAUGAAACUGAAUAUAAUAAUAAUAAUAAUUAUUAUUAUUAUUAUCAUGAUGAUAACAAUAAUAAUAACAACAAAUUAUUUAGGUGUUGUAGCAGAAAAAAAAUUCCAUUAGCUUUUCACAUCUGUCCAAAUGAAUACUGUUUAGCAUUUUCAUUGUGUCUCUCUUUCACCACACACACACAACUUAGUUCAAACAUUGUUUAAUAUAUAUGUAGGUGUUUUUAUGUGUAUAUACAUACAUGCACAUUAUUUCCUUUAUAAUCUUUUACUGGUUUCAUCCAUUGAACCGUGACCAUACUGGGGCACUUUUUUCAAUUGUUUCAGUCAGUUAUACCAGCCCCAGUACUUACCUCAGUCUGGUACUCAAUAUUAUUGAUCUAUAGUUGUCGAGCAGCUAAGUCACACACACACACAAUGGGCUUACACGCACACACACACAAUGGGCUUACGCACUGUUUUCUCUACUAACAGAAGACACUGGAUCAGGUACAACGAAAUGUGCUCAAGCCCAGAGCCUCACUGUUGUGAAGCAACCGUCCUACCACAUGGCUACGUCUGCACACACCUUAAACACAAUGUGUGAAGCAGGAAAGAAGUCGAGUUUUCCUUUGAGACAAUUCUUUAAUACUGACAACAAAAAAAGUGAGAAAGAGAGAGACACACACACACCAGUGUAGCAGUUUCAAUUCCAAUCUCGCAUAGUGGUAUACAGGUACAAGAAAGAAUGAGAACAUAAAUCUAAGAAGGGCAGAAAGUAGGAUGAUGAGUUGUUGAGAAAAAAAUAAUUCCCUAAAGCCUUCAAGGUGCUGCCCCUGCAUGGCCACAAUCAAAUGACUGAAAUAAGUGAAAGAUAAAAGAUGCUAUCAAUGAGAGAAAGAUGUCAGAUAAUGCUACAGAAAGUAGAAACAACUGUUGGUUGUAAAGACGACAAAGGACUUAGUGAUUCUUAAGCAACAGGCCUGUCACCCAGUUGUUUCCCAACUGGUUUUAUUUCCACAGUAAUUCAAGGUGCAGGUAUGACUGUGAUAAGAAGCUUGCUUCCCAAUGACGAUGGUUCCGGGUUCAGUCCCACUGCAUGGAAUCUUGAGCAAGUGUCUUAUACAAUAGCCUUGGACCAACCAAAGCCUUGUGAGUGGAUUUGGGAGAUGGAAACUGAAAGAAGCCCACCAUAUAUGUACGUACUGGCAGUACCAAUGUGACAGACCCCAGUCUACAACAGGAAAUGAAAAGACACAACAUGCUUGUAGCUCUAGCAGGCAGCUGCAGCAACUUAGAGAUAACCACCUGCUUCUUGAACACAACGAAAUACUUCACCUUUCAAAGUCAAGAACAUGUACAAUAUCACAACACAGUACCUCAAAUGUGCCAUACCACCUAGAUAAUGUAUACCAGGUAAAUGGAAAUAAAAUAAAAGAAAAAUGCCUAACAAAAAAAAGUAGAAGAAAGAAAUAGGUUUUCAGAAAAGUGAUACACAUGUUCAACUAGAUAUUUUCUUUGAUUUGUUUCAGUCAUUGAACUACAACCACGCUGGGGCACAACCUCAGUUUUAGUUGCACAAAUUGACCCUAGUACUUACUUUUUUUAAAGUCUGAUAUCUAGUCUGUCAGUUUCUUUUGCUGAACUGCAAGGCUACAGGAGUAAACAAACACCUGAUGUCAAGUGUGUGUGGGGGUGGGGAGGAGAACACAUACACACGCACACACACACAGACGAGAGGCUUCCGCAAAGUUACCAGUGAGUAAAUUCACUCACAAGGAAUUGGUCAGCCCAACACUAUAGUAAAAGACACUUGCCCAUGUUGCUAUGCAAAGAGACUGAACCUGAAACCACACAGUUGCAAAGUAUGCUUGUUAACUACACAGCCAACCUACACUUUGAUACAUCUAAAUCUUUGGCAUUUGAACUGGCCAUAUCCAGCCCAAAUAUUCCACCUGUUUUAUGCUCAAACUGGCCAGAUCUGGCCUCUGACAAAGCAAACAAUCACAGCAUUGAAAUCUUGAAACUUCAAGAUAAUGCCUGACUAAUCAAAAGCAACAGGAAUAAAUAAGCAAACCAUUUGAUUGAGUAAUCUGAAUGCUAAAGGGUAAAAAAAAAGCCACAGUCUAUAAAACCACUCUCAACCUCAGUGAUGACCUUGAGGCUGUAUGCUAGAAUAACUUGGUUCUCAUUCAAGUUACCUAUCAUAUCCACAAGGGAAAUCUUUGAAUGAACCCCUGGUAAAGCUAUUUGGUCUUUCUUUCAGCUACUUCCAAAAGGAAUAUGUCAUCUGUGACUAGGAGAGAGAGAAACAUUUUCAGCAAUUAGGCAUUGUCUGGAUGGCCAAGUUUGUCCAGCAGAUCGACUCAAUCAGAGCUAUUGCCAAGCAGCUCAAAGUGGAGGAGUCCACUUUAUGAUGCAUACUGAAUGAGGACAUCAUGUAAAAAUCCUACAUGAGAAGACAGCCCAUGUGAUCUAGUUGAAACAGAAACUGAGCAAGCUUGAGCACCCCAAGAAACUCAACAUGGUCUGGUUCUUCACCGAUGAGAACUUCAACCAGGACCAGAAGGUGACAAGGCGGAUCAACAGAUGGUUCUGUAUGGACACCAUGGAGGUACUCUUGAUUACACACAAAGUUCCUGUUGUUUCUGAUUGUGCUGAGUGUUGAGAGUAAUUAGAGCCAUGCCAUACUGUCUCCCUUUUUUCCCCUACAAAGCUUCAGGGCCAGUGUCACUACCUUAUAUUGUGCAGAACACAAUCGUCAAACCAUGGAUUUAAGAGUAGUUCAAAGAAGGCCAUAUGUGUUCCAGCAGAACCCUGCUCCCUACUACAUGAGCCUCUCAAUCCUGGAAUAGCAAUCUAAGAGGUUUUAUGAUCAUGUGACAAUACGUAGAAUCACUGGACAGCUGAAUCUGGAGCAGCACUGAGAGAAAGCUAAACUAGCAGCUCCACUAUAUAAAGGGUUUGCUGAAAACUGCCAUUGUAGGUAUGAUGGAUAACAUGCAACAAGAAUCACUCGAUCCUGGUAGACAGUUACUUCCAUGGCAGCAUUGAGACCAUUAUAGAGACUGAGAGUGGUUUUAUAAAAUAAAACCAGAUUGUUUAAUGCAUCUAGUUUAGCACGUUUCGUUUUUCUGAAAGUAAUUUUGCUUUCAAUUUAAUAUCUUUGUUUUUUCUUUUAUUUUGUCUUCAUUUACCUUAUUUAGUAAGUAGAGUACAUUCCAAAACCUUUGGUUUCAAAGCUCUUAUAGAGUAUUGAUUUUUCUGAACCAGGGGUUGUCACCUCAGUCAAAACACUUUAAAUUAAGCAAAUCCUAAAUUUAUUUAAAUUAAAUGAAAUUCAAGUACCUGUAGACUGAAAUAAAUUAGUGCACAGACAAUCUGUGUCUGGAAAGUCAGUGUAGUGUCUGUAUUAUAUUUUGAUGUGGUACGUG